rnacentral:rRNA from 1 species
AUUGAACGCUGGCGGCAGGCCUAACACAUGCAAGUCGAGCGAAUGAAGGGAGCUUGCUCCUGGACUCAGCGGCGGACGGGUGAGUGAUGCCUAGGAAUCUGCCUGGUCGUGGGGGAUAACGUCAGGACACGGGCGCUAAUACCGCAUACGUCCUGAGGGCGAACGUGGGGGAUCUUCGGAGCUCACGCUAUCUGCUGAGCCUAGGUCGGGUUAGCUAGUUGGUGGGGUAAAGGCCUACCAAGGCGACGAUCCGUAACUGGUCUGAGAGGAUGAUCAGUCACACUGGAACUGAGACACGGUCCAGACUCCUACGGGAGGCAGCAGUAGGGAAUAUUGGACAAUGGGCGAAAGCCUGAUCCAGCCAUGCCGCGUGUGUGAAGAAGGUCUUCGGAUUGUAAAGCACUUUAAGUUGGGAGGAAGGGCAGUAAGUUAAUACCUUGCUGUUUUGACGUUACCAACAGAAUAAGCACCGGCUAACUUCGUG